UAUACCUCACAAGGGAAGGCU
rnacentral:piRNA from 1 species